GCUAGUGUUGUGAAAUGUUGGGUUAAGUCCCGCAACGAGCGCAACCCUUAUCCUUUGUUGCCAGCGAUUCGGUCGGGAACUCAAAGGAGACUGCCGGUGAUAAACCGGAGGAAGGUGGGGAUGACGUCAAGUCAUCAUGGCCCUUACGAGUAGGGCUACACACGUGCUACAAUGGCGCAUACAAAGAGAUGCGACUCGCGAGAGAGAGCGGACUCAUAAAGUGCGUCGUAGUCCGGAUCGGAGUCUGCAACUCGACUCCGUGAAGUCGGAAUCGCUAGUA
rnacentral:rRNA from 1 species